UUCACAUUCAUCAAUCAUAAACUUUCUUGAACAUAACCGGAAAUGGCGUAUCGCUCAAAACAAGACCUUUUAUUCCAUUGUUCUCAAAUAUACCAAUAUCUUUGCACAUUACUUUGCAAUUCUUACACACCACUCUUGGACAAUACACCAACUUAGUAACCUUCCCAUAUUGCUCUAUUUUGAACCAGUUUUCCGUAGUCUCUCACCCCGGAUUCUCUUUCGUUCCGCCAAUUGUUACGAAAUAUUGCCUCAAAUAUUGAUCAAAUGUUCCUAAUCUCCACACCGUCGAUUUCACACACCUUGUAGUCGCAUCAAACUCGAUGUUCAAAUCGGUGGAGACUCAAACCACACCCUUUUUAAGGUUUAUUGGUAAAAAUGUAGUGGAAAAACCAUCGGGUUGUUCGUAACACUCCUAGACGACGUUGACACCACAUCUAUCGUAUUCUUUUCGGAUAUUCCCGAUGGCGAAACUUCCACCACCAACACUGCCUUGAAUUGCUGGGAGGAUGUAGUAUUUGUUGCUGAUUCUGAGCUUCUUUCCAUCGGUGUCGAGGACGGGAUCUGGUGACGCAUCAGCUCCGCAGAAGCGUACCUCAGAUGAGGCAAUGACAAUGGCAAUGAAAAGACAAGUGAGUAAUGCAAAAUGCAUAUUUGAUACAUUAAUGUUUUUGACACAAAACAAGUUUUUGACUGAGGGCCAAUAAAAUUUCAAUUAAUUUGCGAUCAAAACAUUUUUGAGUCAAUCAUGUUCGUCAGAUUCCUUAUUAGAGAUAAAUUUUUAAAAGAGAAAAAAAGAAAAGUCAAGCUUUGUUUUUAGAGUACAAAUUAAAAAUCAAAGAUUUGAAAUAAAAGUAUAUAUAUAUAGACGUGAGUUAAACUGAUGUUAAAAUAUAUCAAACUUUUCAAUUUUUGUGCAGCAUAAUUAUAUUAAUAUAUAUGGAUUUUUAUGUAUUAACCCUUUUUAAAGUUUAGGUUCAUUUAAAAUAACUUUUUUCUUAAAAAAAAAGUCGAAGGUCCAAUGUGUUCUGGAAAUUAAAAAUUGUAAAAGUGAAUACUUUAAAAUAAAAAUAAAAUAUUUUUCCUUAUUUCAAAAUAUUUUAGAGACAAACUAAUUGCCUUCAUGUGAUUGCAUUUACUACUCUUUUAGCUUUGCACAUGAUGUAUGUACUUGACUUUUCUUUUUCUCUUUAUUAUAUAUAUAUAUAUAUAUAUAUAUAUAUAUAUAUAUAUAUAUAUAUAUUAAAAAUAAUUAUAAUUGACGGUAAUAUAAUAAAGCAUAUAGUAACAUUUUAAAAAAAAUUGAAAAUAUAACAAAAUCUAUCUGCUAUAAAUUUCUAUUAUCGAUAGACUUUAUCGGUGAUCUAUUAGUCAAGACAAAUUAUUUUAUAUUUACAAAUUUUUUAAAAUGUUGUUAUUUAUUUAGUUAUUUUGAAUCUAAUUCUUUUAUUUGCAAUAAUUUUUGCAGGUUUUAAAUAAGUUAUAUUUUCAUCCAAGAUAAAUUAACAAAAACUCAACUGAUUGAUUAAGAUAUUAUACAAGGUUUUUUUAAAAAAUAAUAAAAAGAUAAAUAUUUACACUCUAUCGAACAAAAAAAAUACUAAAAAGACCAAAAAAAAUCGUUACUCUUGAUUUUUUUAUGAAGUCUAAACAUUUUGUCAAUUUUAGACAUUGGUGGGAUUCUAACGGUGUCCAUCAUAGUAACAUCGUAAGACGUUGAUAAAUCUAAAAUUUUGUUAUAUUUUGUAAAUAUUUUCAACACUUUUGUCAUUUACAAUAAUUCUCUAUUCUUAAUAAAGCUAUAAAUAGUCUUACAUUCUUUAAACAAGGAUAGUGUUAUUUUAAAUUAAGGUUUAAAAUGUUGAUGUCGAAGAAAAUAUCGAGAUCUUAAUUUUAUGAAAAAACUAUAAAUUUAUUGUAAAAAUAUCCAUUACAAUGGAUAGUAUGAAAAUUUAUUAAAAUAAUCCAAUAAACAAUCAAUUUAAAUUAGCCAGAUAAAUAUUUAAGGAUUUCUUAAUAAUAUAUAACUACUAUUUAUAUUAGUGCUAAUUUGAUUAUUAUUUUAUAUUUUUCUACAAUACAAUGACAACAUCAAUUUUUUAUAUAUAUAUUAGUGUGGAAUUCAUAUCAACAUUUUACUGUAUUUUUGUAAAUAACAAAGAUUCAAUUUUUACUAUUUAUAACAAAUUUUCAAUAAAAUAACGAAACUUUUAUUGCAAUAAAGAUGAUUACAACAAUUUAUUUAUUAUUACAUUGGAUAUAGAGAGAGAAAAUUUAGUCAUUAAUUUCCCUCUCAUCAUGACCAUCACUAUCAGCUUCAAAUUCAAACUUUCUUGAACAUAACAGGGAAUGGAGCAUCAUUCAAAGCAAUAACCCUCCUUCCAUUCUUGUAAAAUAAUCCCACAUCUUUGCACACUACUUUGCAAUACUUACAAACUGUUGGACAAUACACCAACUUAUAAUUCUUACCAUACUUCUCCACUUUGAACCAAUUUUCUAUUGUUUCCCGCCCCGGAUUCCCUUUCAUUCCCCCCAUCGUCACAAAAUACUGCUUCAAGUAUUCAUCAAACUUACCUACUUUCCAUACCGUCGAUAUUCCGCACCUCGUGUUCGCCUCGAAUUGGAUGUUCAAAUCUGUAGAAACUCGGACCACACCCUUUUUAGGGUUUAUGGGGGAAAACGUCGCCGGUAGACCGUGUAAAUAAUCGUAUGAUUCCGGGAGGAUGUUGAUGGGACAUUUUUCGUAUCCGUAGAUACCGCCGAUGCUUAAUCCACCACUGUUUCUGCUGUAAACUGAAAGAAUAUAAUAUUGAUCACCGGCUCGAAGCUUCUUUCCGUCGGUGUCGAGGACCGCAUCGGGGGAGGCAUCCGCUCUGCAGAAGCGUACCUCAGAUGAGGCAAUGACAAUGAAAAGAAAACACAGUAAUGCAAAGUUUCUCAUUUCUUUUGGUGAUUUUGUUUCUUAUGUAGAUGAUGAUAUUGGAAUUGAAAAAGAAGUCUAUUUAUAGGAAAUUAUAGAGAAAGAGAGAUUGAAAUUGCUCACUGUAUUGUUUCUCAUUGUAUUGCUUUCCCGGCGGGCGCCA
rnacentral:lncRNA from 1 species